AUGCAACUUUUCAGGGAAGCCAGGAACCAAUACACACAGUCAGUUAGGAAAGCAAAGGCUAUCUUUAUCAAACAGAAAUUUGCAUCCUGCAGCACUAAUUCCAAAAAGUUUUGGGACACUGUAAAGUCUAUGGAGAAUAAGAGUACCUUCUCCCAGCUGUCCACUGCACUGAGACUAGGAAACACUGUCAUCACUGAUAAAUCCAUGAUAAUCGAAAAUUUCAAUAAGCAUUUCUCUACGGCUGACCAUGCUUUCCACCUGGCUACCCCAACCAUGGCCAACAGCUCUGCACACCCCGCAGCAACUGGCCCAAGCCCCCCCCCCCCACCCCGCUUCUCCUUCACCCAAAUCCAGACAGAUGAUGUUCUGAAAGAGCUGCAAAAUCUGGAUCCCUACAAAUCAGCUGGACUAGACAAUCUGGACUUUCUCUUCCUAAAAUUACCCGCCGCCAUUGUUGCAACCCCUAUUACUAGCCUGUUCAACCUCUCUUUCAUAUUGUCUGAGAUUCCUAAAGAUAGGAAAGCGGCCGCGGUCAUCUCCCUCUUCAAAGGGGGAAACAGUCUUGACCCUAACUUUUACAGACCUAUAUCCAUCCUGCCCUGCGUUUCUAAAGUCUUCGAAAGCCAAGUGAAAAAACAGAUCACCGACCAUUUCGAAUCUCACCGUACCUUCUCCGCUAUGCAAUCUGGUGUCCGAGCUGGUCACGGGUGCACCUCAGCCACGCUCAAGCUCCUAAACGAUAUCAUAACCGCCAUUGAUAAAAGACAGUACUAUGCAGCCGUAUUCAUCAACCUGGCCAAGGCUUUCAACUCUGUCAAUCACCGUAUUCUUAUCGGCAGACUAAACAGCCUUGGUUUCUCUAAUGACUGCCUCGCCUGUUUCACUAACUACUUCUCAGAUAGAGUUCAGUGUGUCAAAUCGGAGGGCCUGUUGUCCGGACCUCUGGCAGUCUCUAUGGGGGUGCCACAGGGUUCAAUUCUUGGGCGGACUCUUUUCUCUGUAUACAUCAAUGAUGUCGCUCUUGCUGCGGGUGAUUCUCUGAUCCACGCAGAUGACACCAUUCUGUAUACAUCUGGCCCUUCUUUGGACACUGUGUUAACAAACCUCCAAACGAACUUCAGCGCUAUACAACACUCAUUCCGUGGCCUCCAACUGCUCUUAACUUCUUUGGGAUCUGGGGGCAGUAUUGAGUAG
rnacentral:lncRNA from 8 species